rnacentral:misc_RNA from 1 species
AACGCACAUUGCGCCCUCUGGUAUUCCGGGGGGCAUGCCCGUUCGAGCGUCAUUACACCACUCAAGCCUCGCUUGGUAUUGGGGGCCGCGGCCGCGUCCGCACCCCUCGAAUCGUCCGGCUGGGUCCAUCGUCUCUUAGCGUUGUGGGAACACUAUUCUCGCUUGUGCGUCGAUGGGCUCGCGCCGUCAAAACCUCUCAAAGGUUGACCUCGGAUCGGGUAGGGAUACCCGCUGAACUUAA